UACGAAGGUCCCAAGCGUUAUCCGGAUUUAUUGGGUUUAAAGGGUGCGUAGGCGGUCUAUUAAGUCAGUGGUGAAAGCCUCAAGCUUAACUUGAGAAUUGCCAUUGAUACUGAUGACCUUGAGUACAUUUGAAGUGGGCGGAAUGUGUCAUGUAGCGGUGAAAUGCUUAGAUAUGACACAGAACACCGAUUGCGUAGGCAGCUCACUAAACUGUUACUGACGCUGAGGCACGAAAGCGUGGGGAGCAAACAGG
rnacentral:rRNA from 1 species